rnacentral:rRNA from 1 species
GAUGAACGCUGGCGGCAUGCCUAAUACAUGCAAGUCGAGCGAACAGACGAGGAGCUUGCUCCUCUGACGUUAUCGGCGGUCGGGUGAGUCACACGUGGUUAACCUACCUCUCCGACUGGGAUAACUUCGGGAAACCGUAGCUAAUACCGGAUAAUAUAUUGACCCUCAUGGUUCCAUCGUUAAAUACGGUUUUGCUGUCACUUAUAGCUUGAUCCGCGCCGCAUUAGCUAGUUGGUAAGGUAACGGCUUACCAAGGCAACGAUGCGUAGACGACCUGAGCGGGUGAUCGGCCACACGGGAACUGAGACAGGGUCGAGACACCUACGGGAGGCAGCAGUAGGGAAUCUUCCGCAAGGGGCGAAUGCCUGACGGAGCAAAGUCGCGGGAGGGAUGAAGGUCUUAGGAUCGUAAAACGCUGUUAUUAGGGAAGAACAAAUGUGUAAGUAACUAGGAACGUAUUGACGGUACCUAAUCAGAAAGCCACGGCUAACUACGUG